rnacentral:rRNA from 1 species
UACGGGGGGGGCAAGCGUUGUUCGGAAUUACUGGGCGUAAAGGGCUCGUAGGCGGCCAACUAAGUCGGACGUGAAAUCCCUCAGCUUAACUGGGGAACUGCGUCCGAUACUGGAUGGCUUGGAUUCGGGAGAGGGAUGCGGAAUUCCAGGUGUAGCGGUGAAAUGCGUAGAUAUCAGGAGGAACACCGGCGGUGUAGACGGCUUUCUGGACCGUAGCUGACGCUGAGACACGAAAGCGUGGGUAGCAAACAGG